GACGAACGCUGGCGGCGUGCUUAACACAUGCAAGUCGAACGGAAAGGCCCUGCUUUUGUGGGGUGCUCGAGUGGCGAACGGGUGAGUAACACGUGAGUAACCUGCCCUUGACUUUGGGAUAACUUCAGGAAACUGGGGCUAAUACCGGAUAGGAGCUCCUGCUGCAUGGUGGGGGCUGGAAAGUUUCGGCGGUUGGGGAUGGACUCGCGGCUUAUCAGCUUGUUGGUGGGGUAGUGGCUUACCAAGGCUUUGACGGGUAGCCGGCCUGAGAGGGUGACCGGCCACAAUGGGACUGAGAUACGGCCCAGACUCCUACGGGAGGCAGCAGUGGGGAAUAUUGCACAAUGGGCGGAAGCCUGAUGCAGCAGCGCCGCGUGCGGGAUGACGGCCUUCGGGUUGUAAACCGCUUUCGCCUGUGACGAAGCGUGAGUGACGGUAAUGGGUAAAGAAGCACCGGCUAACUACGUG
rnacentral:rRNA from 1 species